rnacentral:lncRNA from 1 species
UGAUAUGUUCUUAGUUUUGUAUCAAGUUUGUAAUAUGUUAUAUAGACUACAAGAUUAUGUCUUUAUAUCACUAAAACAUCAAGUAGGUUGAACAUAGUGGUUGGUCAAAGUAGAUGAAACGAUCAUGAAAGCUGUUUUCUGGGUAACCCAGAAAACGCUUGAACACUGUCUCUGACAGGGUUUGACCAUUCCAGAUCUGGCGAUUGUAUUGUUGUUUGAUUAAUUUUAUAUGAUAGAUUUGUACCUUUACAUGUUGUCUACAAACUGGAACCCUUAGAUCACAAAAACAUUACACGAACAACAAGUUGUGGAACCCCAAAACUAGCCAGUCGAACUGUUCUUCAUUUCUGUGUAACCCAGAAAAUGAAGAACAGCUCUGACAUCUUGUUCUUGAGCUUAGAUCUUGCAUUUGGUACAUGAUAUGACCUUGUUUGUUGUGGGAUCUUGUAGUGUUACAUUAGUACUACAACAUCUAACCAUUAUCUUGUCCAGAAACAACUUAGUCAGUGAAUUAUGGCUGGUCAAACAUAGCAACCUGAAACUGUCUUAUGAAUGUUCUUGAGCCUCAAGAACACAAUAGGUGACACUUUCUGUUGCUAAAGGCUAUAACGACAGUUUUAUUAAUUUUAAUUAAUUAAAUUUCCAAAAAAAUCCUUUUAAAAUAAAAAUUAAUUUCUAAA